rnacentral:rRNA from 1 species
UACGAAGGGGGCUAGCGUUGUCCGGAAUCAUUGGGCGUAAAGCGCGUGUAGGCGGUCCGGUAAGUCCGCUGUGAAAGUCGGGGGCUCAACCCUCGGAUGCCGGUGGAUACUGUCGGGCUUGAGUACGGAAGAGGCGAGUGGAAUUCCUGGUGUAGCGGUGAAAUGCGCAGAUAUCAGGAGGAACACCAGCGGCGAAGGCGGCGCUCUGGGCCGGAACUGACGCUGAGGAGCGAAAGCGUGGGGAGCAAACAGG